AGAAACUGAGUCUAAAUGUUGGUUUAGUUGUACACAUGUAACUCGACCAUACAACCCAACGUUCUUUCUGGUAAAAUGGAUGCUCAGCACCAACAUCCCCUACCCCUCCUCUCUCUUCACCCUUCGUUCUCCGCAGCAGCUGGUUCAAGGUGGAAGCCGCCGCCGGCAGCCAGAAGAACAACAGCAACAAGGCCUUCGAUGCGGCGGCGUUCGAGGCGGAGCGGUUGGCCCUCGACGCGGAGUCCCGGCGAGCCAUGGCGGAGGCUGCCUACCCCAAGGCCUGGAAAUGGGUAAUCCGUAAGAGAAUAUGGGAUGUGAUGGAAGCUCGCAACUUCGCCAACAACCCCCGGCCCGUUCACCACCGCAUUCCCAAUUUCGUUGGCGCCUCUGUUGCGGCUGAAAAGAUGAGGGAGCUAGAUGUGUUUCAGGUAGCACAAUGUGUAAAGGUUAAUCCAGACUCUCCUCAGAAACAAGUCAGGUUUCUCACUCUUUCAGAUGGCAAGAAGUUGUUGACUCCUCAACCUCGGCCGAGAACAGGUUUCUUCUCUGUACUUGAUUCCAAUAUGUUAACUUUGGAUACCAUCAAGGAAGCCUGCACUUCUGUUGGGGUUGCCAAGCAUGGACAGCCGAUUGGGUUAGACAAAAAGAUAAAGGUAGAUCUUAUUGUUAUUGGAUCUGUUGCUGUUGACCCAAGGACAGGUGCUUGAUUGGGAAAGGGAGAGGGAAUUGCAGAACUUGAAUAUGGUAUGCUGAGGUACAUGGGAGCCAUCGAUGAUUCAACACCAGUUGUUACCUCUGUGCAUGACUGCCAAUUGGUGGACGAUAUUCCUGUUGAAAAGCUGUUAAUCCAUGACGUACCAGUGGAUAUCAUUUGUACUCCAACACAGGUCAUUUUCACAAAUACAUUUAUGCCAAAGCCUCAAGGAAUUUAUUGGGACAAGUUGUCUCCUGAGAAGUUGGGACAAAUUCGUAUACUGAGGGAGUUCAAGAAGAGGAUUGAACAAGAGACUGGACAGAAGCUUCCUACUGGUCCAUCAGAGAAAUUACCCCCUAUUGCUCAACGAAGUAGAAGGGGUUGAUCAUGUACAUGAAGUGAGCUUUGAAAAAUUAUGCUUGAAAUAGUGGUCAUCACACCAGUUUGGUACUUUGGUUGGUGUGGGUACUUUAGACAUAGCUAGAGCGGGCCAAAAAUGCAAGACUUACUUUUCUUAACUUUUUUUGGUGCAUGAGAAUGAUGGGUCUUGAGUGGAAGGAUAUUGCUUUUGUUCAGAAGUCAAAUGUGGAGAGUUAUAUACAAUGAAUUACAGAUUUCCUUGGUCCCCAUGAAAGGAAGGAAGCUCCACGUAAUGGUUCAUUUGUCCACUCCAAACCGACUGCGGAAUAUCAUUGGAUGUCUUUUACGACGACUUGGAUUUCUUUUAAGAUCUUAUUACAUAAGUCAAAUGUGACGUGGAUACAAACACGUGAAUCUAUUAAAAAAUUUCAUGAUGUGACCAGAGAUAGAAUGCUCUUCAAGCCUUUUUCAACUAUCAUUGUCCACUGGGUUCCAGUUGUACGAUAAAAAUGUAUUGAUAUCAUAUUGUUAAGGCAAAUCUAUCAUGCUUUUGAAGCAUAAAUGUGGAAUGUAAAAAGACUCGCCACUUAAACGUAUAGUAGUCAAAAUCUAUCUUGAAGUAUCCAAGGAACUUUGCCAUUUGAGGCAUAUAAGAAUUGAGUUUGAAAGGUACUGCACUGCGUCAAAAAUUAUAAAUGUUACCCAAGUUUUUAGUUUCUACCCCUUCA